AGAGUUUGAUCCUGGCUCAGAACGAACGCUGGCGGCGUGCUUAACACAUGCAAGUCGAGCGCGAAAGGGGCCUUCGGGUUCCGAGUAGAGCGGCAGACGGGUGAGUAACACGUGGGUAACCUGCCUCUGGGUGGGGGAUAACCACCUGAAAGGGUGGCUAAUACCGCAUAAGACCACGUCCUUUUGGGGAUGGGGUCAAAGGCCCUUCGGGGUCGCCAGGAGAGGGGCCCGCGUCCGAUUAGCUGGUUGGCGGGGUAAUGGCCCACCAAGGCGAUGAUCGGUAGCUGGUCUGAGAGGAUGAUCAGCCGCACUGGUACUGAGACACGGACCAGACUCCUACGGGAGGCAGCAGUGGGGAAUAUUGCGCAAUGGGCGAAAGCCUGACGCAGCAACGCCGCGUGGGUGAUGAAGGCCUUCGGGUCGUAAAGCCCUGUCAGGUGGGAAGAAACCUCUCCGCAAGGGGAGCUGACGGUACCACCGAAGGAAGCACCGGCUAACUCCGUGCCAGCAGCCGCGGUAAUACGGAGGGUGCAAGCGUUGUUCGGAAUCACUGGGCGUAAAGGGCGCGUAGGCGGCUAGGGAAGUCCGGUGUGAAAGCCCGGGGCUUAACCCCGGAAGUGCAUUGGAAACUCCCUGGCUUGAGUUCGGAAGAGGAGGGCAGAAUUCCCGGUGUAGGGGUGAAAUCCGUAGAUAUCGGGAGGAAAACCAGUGGCGAAGGCGGCCCUCUGGGACAGAACUGACGCUGAGGCGCGAAAGCGUGGGGAGCAAACAGGAUUAGAGACCCUGGUAGUCCACGCCGUAAACGAUGGAUGCUUGGUGUGGGGAUCAAUAAGGAUCUCCGUGCCGCAGCUAACGCAGUAAGCAUCCCGCCUGGGGAGUACGGUCGCAAGACUAAAACUUAAAGGAAUUGAUGG
rnacentral:rRNA from 1 species